UACGUAAGCCCCAAGCAUUACCCGGAAUCACUGGGUGUAAAGGGUUCGUAGGUGGAGAGAUAAGUUGGAUAUGAAAAACCGAAGCUCAACUUCGUGUUUGUAUUCAAAACUGUUUUUCUAGAAUCAGGGAGAGGUAAGCGGAAUUCUAAGUGUAGGGGUGCAAUCCGUAGAUACUUAGAAGAACACCAAAAGCGAAGGCAGCUUACUGGAACUGUAUUGACACUGAGGAACGAAAGCGUGGGUAGCGAAAAGG
rnacentral:rRNA from 1 species